GCCGUGGCUCAGUGGCAGGGCACCUGCUUUGCAUGUAGGAGGUUAUGGGUUCAAUCCCCAGCAUCUCCA